GCACCCGUAGCUCAGCUGGAUAGAGUACUGCCCUCCGAAGGCAGGGGUCACAAGUUCGAAUCUUGUCGGGUGCACCA
rnacentral:tRNA from 1 species